rnacentral:rRNA from 1 species
UAAUAGUGUCGUCUAAAACUGGUGCCAGAAGACUCGGUAAGGCCAGAGACACAAAUGUUAAUCGUCUUAAUCAGGCGUAAAGGGUUUGUAGGCUGCUUUGAAAAUAUUAAUUUAAUAUAGCAUUUAUUCUUUUUAAAUUAUUUCUCUAUCUAUUCCUAGAUAGGGUAUUAAUAAUUAAUAGAAAAUUAGUAAAUUAAUAUCAAUUAAAGCUAGAAUCUAAUAGAGGAUAGUUACGAAAGAAUGCUUGGUCGAGGGCUGAGAUCCGUAGACACUGAGUGGAAUACCAAUGGCGUAAGCAUUUAUCCAUUAAAGAUUGACGCUGAGAAACGAAGGUGAGGAUAGGAAAUAGGAUUAGAUACCCAGAUACCCCUCUCUGUCAACGAUGAAUGGUAGUUGUUAGUAUAUAUGAGCUAGUGACGAAGUUAACACGUUAACCAUUCCGCCUUGUGAGUACGACUGCAAAGUUGAAAACAAAAAAAUUAGUCGGUCUCGGAGCAAACGAAGUGAAGUAUGUUAUUUAAUUCAUAAUCCGCA